UGCAGUCGAACGAGAACGGGCUAUAGCUUGCUAUAGUUGUCAGCUAAGUGGCGCACGGGUGAGUAAUAUAUAGGUAAUGUGCCCUAGAGAGGGGGAUAACAUUUGGAAACGAAUGCUAACACCCCAUAUGCCCUUAAGACAUAAGUCUGCAGGGGAAAUAUUUAUAGCUCUAGGAUCGGCCUGUACGGUAUCAGCUUGUUGGUGAGGUAAUGGCUCACCAAGGCUAUGACGCCUAACUGGUUUGAGAGGAUGAUCAGUCACACUGGAACUGAGACACGGUCCAGACUCCUACGGGAGGCAGCAGUGGGGAAUAUUGCACAAUGGGGGAAACCCUGAUGCAGCAACGCCGCGUGGAGGAUGACACAUUUCGGUGCGUAAACUCCUUUUAUAUAGGAAGAUAAUGACGGUACUAUAUGAAUAAGCGCCGGCUAACUCCGUGCCAGCAGCCGCGGUAAUACGGAGGGCGCAAGCGUUACUCGGAAUCACUGGGCGUAAAGAGCGUGUAGGCGGGUUAAUAAGUUUGAAGUGAAAUCCUAUGGCUCAACCAUAGAACUGCUUUGAAAACUGUUAACCUAGAGUAUGGGAGAGGUAGAUGGAAUUUCUGGUGUAGGGGUAAAAUCCGUAGAGAUCAGAAGGAAUACCGAUUGCGAAGGCGAUCUACUGGAACAUUACUGACGCUGAGACGCGAAAGCGUG
rnacentral:rRNA from 1 species